rnacentral:rRNA from 1 species
UGGGGAAUUUUGGACAAUGGGCGAAAGCCUGAUCCAGCAAUGCCGCGUGUGUGAAGAAGGCCUUCGGGUUGCAAAGCACUUUUGUCCGGAAAGAAAUCCUUGGCUCUAAUACAGUCGGGGGAUGACGGUACCGGAAGAAUAAGCACCGGCUAACUACGUGCCAGCAGCCGCGGUAAUACGUAGGGUGCAAGCGUUAAUCGGAAUUACUGGGCGUAAAGCGUGCGCAGGCGGUUUGCUAAGACCGAUGUGAAAUCCCCGGGCUCAACCUGGGAACUGCAUUGGUGACUGGCAGGCUAGAGUAUGGCAGAGGGGGGUAGAAUUCCACGUGUAGCAGUGAAAUGCGUAGAGAUGUGGAGGAAUACCGAUGGCGAAGGCAGCCCCCUGGGCCAAAUACUGACGCUCAUGCACGAAAGCGUGGGGAGCAAACAGGAUUAGAUACCCUGGUAGUCCACGCCCUAAACGAUGUCAACUAGUUGUUGGGGAUUCAUUUCCUUAGUAACGUAGCUAACGCGUGAAGUUGACCGCCUGGGGAGUACGGUCGCAAGAUUAAAACUCAAAUGAAUUGACGGGGUCAUAGCUGUUUCCU